AUCGAUUCUCAUGGGGAACUUGGAGGUCCUUGAAAUCAAGAAUAAUAGAGUCAGGCUCUUUCCCGAAGCGAUGCUAUGAUUUCUAUUUCCAUUUUACUCAUAAGUUUUUUUCCUGCCUCAACAUUUGAUUUUACGGCAAGUGUGGCUCAAUUUCAUAGGAAUCUGAUGAGGCAGCCGAAUAAACGAGAUUUGUAUUUGAGUUCCACGAGGUAUCCGAUUGUCGCACUCGUCUUCGAAACUUGAAAUUUUGGUGGGCUCGGAGCUUUAUGAGACUGCGGAAGAUUGUGC